AGGCAAGUGCCACCGGGUGGUGGAUCGGUACGUGCAGCCCAUCGAGGACGGGCUGGCCCAGGACCUGGAGCCCCAAGACAUCUGCGUCUCCAUCGGCAUGUAUGAGAGCCCGGGCCACCCAGGGUGGCAGGUUCCUGGCCUGCACCGGGCCCCGGCUGCAGAGAGCCUGGUGGAUGCCUCGGGACCGUGACGCCCUCUGCCAGAUGACGCCUGAGCUCUGGGUGGCCAGGGCAGAGCGGAGCCCUGCGGCGCCCGUAGCCCCGGCCAGGAGGGGCUGCCCCCAGCUGUGACGCCCGGCCGGGAACCUGCCUUUGCCGCCCGGCCUUUCAAUAAAGCUUCUGCCUG